ensembl:lncRNA
AGGGCAUCUCGUAUCUGAUUCAGACAGCCAGCUAUAUAUUUGAUUGAUGUAUGUAAAUGUGUAGUUUGCCUUUCAGUCCUUGUCUGAUAUCCAUUGGCCUCCUCUCCUGCAGUUCUAAGCCAAGAUAGAGGUGAACUACCCAGCCUUGGUGUCCAAACACUGCUGGCCAUCACAUUUAAUGGUUUUCAUCUUUUUGGUGAGGUAGGGUUUGAAUGGAUGGCUGUGGGAAGUGCUCCCUGCUCCAGAGCAUCAUCCCUGGUGGUUCUGUACAGAAUGAGCAGAAUAUAGUGCAGGGGAUUUGAGAAGAGGAAGGAGGUAAAGGAAUAAAUCUCAAUCUGAUGUUCAGAAAUGAGGUGUGCUCCCACCUCUGAUCAGUGAAAAUGCCUUCUGGCAUUGCAGCCUGCUUGAAACGACCAAGCAUUUUGGGACGUUGUCACAAAACAAAAGAGGAGGAAAAAAAACCUUUUGCUGAAGGAGGGGUAAACAGGAUGUCCUGAGAAAUCUUCCCUUUUUUUAUUGCUUAUAGGACUGUUUUUUUAGGACUAUAGGACUUUUUUACUGCUUAUAGACUGGAGAGGAGCCUACAGAAGCAGCUCACGUGCACUCACGCACACACCCACCCCACUCCCAGGCAUUCCCCCUAUUCAGUGCCAGCAAUUAACCCCCACAGGAAGGUCAUGGUAGGGUACAAAGGGGCCUGGUUCUCCCAGGCAGUGGCUGCAAUGGCUGUGUGGUGUGGCACAGAGUGACUGUGUGGGGCCUUUUGUGCUCCAUCCAUGGACACGGAGGUGACCAGGGCAGUGAGAGCCAGGCUGGGUUCAGGCACAUCAACGGCAUGAAGAGCCACUGCGGGAGUAGGAGGUGGUGAAAGGGAGCAGUGGGACCCUCGGCCAAGGGUCCCACUGCUGGGAAAAGGAUUCCUUAUGAACCUGGAGCCACCCUGAACGUCCUCCUGUUAUUGCUGACCCUCGUGACGCCGCUCCCUGGGUGUGCUGAGACCCUUCCCACAGAGAGCCCACGUGGCAUAGCAAAAUGCUGUGGGUUGGGCAUCCUCUCCCGUGCCUCCCUGCAGGAUGUGCACUGACAGCAGCAG